GGGAAAGUGGCUCAGUGGUAGAGCACUUGCCUUGCAUGCAUGAGGCCCUGGGUUCGAUUCCUCAGCCCUA
rnacentral:tRNA from 1 species